AGUAAAAUAAGCUAACUUAAGCUACUGGGCCCAUACCCCAACUAUGAAGGUUAAAGUCCUUCUUUUACUA
rnacentral:tRNA from 1 species